GUGCUCGCUUCAGCAGCACAUAUACUAAAAUUGGAACAAUACAGAAAAGAUUAGCAUGGCCCCUGUACAAGGAUGACAUGCAAAUUCAUGAAGCAUUUCAUAUUAAA
rnacentral:snRNA from 1 species